CGGGGGUGGGGAGAGGGAGGCACGCAUGCGCAAGGCUUGAAUGGCGUCGGGGUUGGAGGGUUGGAAGGUCGGGAAGUGAAGGACUCGCAGGCAUAUUUAACAACGCAAAGUUGCUAGGAGUUGGUACCAGCGUUUGGGAGGUAGAGGUGGCGCUCAUGCAUAUUUGAGACAACAUCUGGAUGGUUGGGGAGAACGAACUUUCAGCACGGUUUUGUCA
rnacentral:lncRNA from 1 species